AUUGAACGCUGGCGGCAGGCUCAACACACGCAAGUCGAGCGAGCGGCGGACGGGUGAGUAUUGUCUGGGAAACUGCCUGAUGGAGGGGGAUAACUACUGGAAACGGUAGCUAAUACCGCAUACCAUCAGAUGUGCCCAGAUGGGAUUAGCUAGUAGGUGGGGUAAUGGCUCACCUAGGCGACGAUCCCUAGCUGGUCUGAGAGGAUGACCAGCCACACUGGAACUGAUACACGGUCCAGACGCCUACGGGAGGCAGCAGUGGGGAAUAUUGCGCAAGGGGCGCAAGCCUGGUGCAGGCAUGCCGCGUGUGUGAAGAAGGCCUGCGGGUUGUAGAGCACUUGCAGCGAGGAGGCGUUACUCGCAGAAGAAGCACCGGCUGGCUCCGUGGCAGCCGCCGCGGUAAUAC
rnacentral:rRNA from 1 species